GCCGGGCACAGUGGCGCAGGCCUGUAAUCCCAGUGGCUCAGGAGGCAGAGGCAGGGGGAUUGCAAGUUUAAAGCCAGCCUCAGCAACUUAGCAAGGCCCUGUCUCUA
rnacentral:sRNA from 1 species